GAUGAAGAACGUAGCGAAAUGCGAUACGUAAUGUGAAUUGCAGAAUUCAGUGAGUCAUCGAAUCUUUGAACGCAUAUUGCGCUCUCUGGUAUUCCGGAGAGCAUGCUUGUUUGAGUAUCAGUAAACACCUCAACUCCCUUUUCUUUUUUGAAAUUGGAGCUGGACUUGAGUGAUCCCAACGCUUUCUUCCAAGAAAGUGGCGGGUUGCUUGAAAUGCAGGUGCAGCUGAACUUUUCUCUGAGCUAUAAGCAUAUCUAUUUAGUCUGCCUAAAAAACAGAUUAUUACCUUUGCUGCAGCUAACAUAAAGGAGACUAGUUCUUGUGCUGACUGAUGCAGGAUUCACAGAGACAGCUUCGGCUGACUUUGUAAACUCGAUCUCAAAUCAAGUAAGACUACCCGCUGAACUUAAGCAUAUCAAUAAGCGGAGGA
rnacentral:misc_RNA from 1 species